rnacentral:ncRNA from 1 species
CACAACACGUUGAGAAGGAAAGUAGCAUUUGAUUUUAUCUACAGAGAGCCGUUGGUUGGUGGAAAACGGUGGUAAAGGAAAUGUGAAACUCACCUUUGAGUACGACUCUGAACAAUAAGUAGGAGUUGUCGGAUGGUUGAACCACCAUUCGUUAACAAAAAAAUGAGGCUAAUUCUAAUAUUAGUGAAUAAGGGUGGUACCGCGAGAGACUUUCUCGCCCCUUGU